AAAUUAAGGCACAAAACUAUACAGUGGCAGAAUGUGGCCAUGAAAGGAAAAAAAGUAUGUUGUUCCCUCAAGAUACUUUGUCGUUCCCUCAAGAUGCUAUGUCGUUCCCUCAAGAUACUUUGUCGUUCCCUCAAGAUGCUUUGUGGUUCCCGAAAGAUUGUUACCUCGUUCCCUCCAGAUCCUAUGUCGUUCUCUCAAGAUGCUAUGUAGUUUCAACAAGAUUAUUAUCUCGUUUCCUCAAGAUACUUUGUCGUUCCCACAAGAUAGUUAUCUCGUUCCCUUAAGAUACUAUGUCGUUCCCUCAAGAUGAUGUGUCGCUCCCUCAAGAUAUUAUGUUUUACCCUCAAGAUGAUAUGUCGUUUAAACAAUAUAGUUACUUUAUUCCCUUAAGAUGCUAUGUGAUUCUAUAAGAUAGUUUUCUCUUCUACCAAAUUAAUAUGCCGAUUUCAUUAAGAUGCUUUGUCGUUCUCUAAAAAUGCUAUGUUGUUUCUACAAGAUUGUCUUGUUCCUUCAGGAUACUCUGUCGUUCCGACAAGAUAGUUAUCUCGUUCCCUUAAGAUACCAUGUCGUUUCCUCAAGAUGAUAUGUCGUUCCUUCGAGAUGCUAUGUACUUUUCACAAGGUAGUUGUCUCGUUUCCACAAGAUAGUUAGCUCGUUUCUCUCAAGAUGCUUUGUUAUGUCGUUUUCAAAAGAUAGUUAUCUCAUUCCUUCAAGAUAAUAUGUCGUUUCCUUAAGAUGUUAUGGUGUUCCCUUAAGAUGUUAUGGUGUUCCCUCAAGAAAGUUAUCACGUUCCACCAAGAUAAUAAUUGGUUCCCUCAACAUAGCUAUAAAAUUGUACUGAUAUAACAUCUUGUGGGAACGACAUUGUAUCUUGACAGAACGAGAUAAAAAUCUUGUGAGAACGACAUAGUAUCUUGACGGAACGAGAUAACCAUCUUGUUGGCACGACGUAGUUUCUUAAGGGGUCGACAUAGCAUCUUUGGGGAUCGACAUAUUAUCUUGAGGGGACAACAUAAUAUCUUGAGAGAACGACAUAGUAUCUUAAGGGAUCAAGAUAACUAUCUUGUAGGAACGACAUAGCAUCUUGAGAGAACGACAUAGGAUCUGUUGUAGACGAGGUAACAAUCUUUUGGGAACGACAUAGCAUCUUGAGGGAACGACA
rnacentral:lncRNA from 1 species